UGCAAUACAAUACCACCACUAAAUCCUUCAAAACUGACAAUGUCCCAUACAGCAAUAACACAAAUGCUGCCAAAUACCCAAAGCAAAAAGUGAAGCAGAACCUUCAAAUCACCAUUCAAUAGAUAGAUCGGCCAACAGAGCCUUUCAAUCAUUCAUAA